rnacentral:rRNA from 1 species
UACGUAGGUGGCAAGCGUUGUCCGGAAUUAUUGGGCGUAAAGCGCGCGCAGGCGGUCCUUUAAGUCUGAUGUGAAAGCCCACGGCUCAACCGUGGAGGGUCAUUGGAAACUGGGGGACUUGAGUGCAGGAGAGAAGAGUGGAAUUCCACGUGUAGCGGUGAAAUGCGUAGAGAUGUGGAGGAACACCAGUGGCGAAGGCGACUCUUUGGCCUGUAACUGACGCUGAGGCGCAAAAGCGUGGGGAGCGAACAGG